AUGGGUUCUCGUAUGAUCACCGAAGUUAAGCAAUGUCGGGCAUGGUCAGUAACUAGAUGGGUGACCACUUGGGAAUACCAGGUCCUGUAAG